UCCUCCACAUCGACUUGCUUUGAAGAUC
rnacentral:piRNA from 1 species